rnacentral:rRNA from 1 species
CGCCUACGGGAGGCAGCAGUGGGGAAUAUUGGGCAAUGGGCGCAAGCCUGACCCAGCAACGCCGCGUGAAGGAAGAAGGCUUUCGGGUUGUAAACUUCUUUUCUCAGGGACGAAGCAGGUGACGGUACCUGAGGAAUAAGCCACGGCUAACUACGUGCCAGCAGCCGCGGUAAUACGUAGGUGGCAAGCGUUAUCCGGAUUUACUGGGUGUAAAGGGCGUGUAGGCGGGGACGAAAGUCAGAUGUGAAAACCACGGGCUCAACCUGUGGCCUGACUUUGAAACUGUGUGUCUUGAGUACUGGAGG